UUGGCUCAGCCCUCGCACACCACUGAUGAGUUAUAGCUUUGCUGCGAUCCUCUGCCUGAGAAAUAUAGUGCAGUACAUACUACAAAUCCUGCUCACACGGGGAAAAUAAAUAGGGAUUAUCUACUUUACACACGGGUCAAGAUCAUUGAACUGACAGAGUAGUCUGUCCUAACUACUGUAUGCAGUGUUGCAGGAUGAUGGAGUUUGCUCAGAUAUGGGGAGAUUCAUUCCGGACACAUUCCAACACUACAGCUGACACCUCAAAAACAGAGACACCGAAAGGCAAUAUCUGCAAAUGUUUAAACAGACGGGGAAGAAUAAUAGCAAGUGCAAUGGAGGGAGAAGCGAUGCGAACAUCAGCUGUACAGACUGUGCUGCCUCGCUGACCACAGCAGAUUGGAGAGCACGAGCAGUGAGAAAAUGGAAACAAGGAGUGGUUCCAAGGCGAACUAACUACAAGUAGAAAAGUAGAAAGUUUGUGACAAACUGAGUCAUGGUAAGAGAUAUUUCUCUUUGCUAAACAGCACAUUACAAAUAAUUUGACUCUGAUCUUUGCAUUUGAAAUGAAGUUUGUUUUAUCUCAUUUUUGUUUUAAAUGGUUACCCCAAUACAGUUUCUUAAGAAGUACUAUUGCUUGAACAGUUUUUUUUCUUGUAUUCUUGUUGUUUCAACAUUAAUUGCACUUCCGCUGCCACCUUCCUAUCAGUUUGACAGAUCAUGCACUUCACUGAAAGACAGGAAACGCAAACAGUGCUGUGAAAACAACAAGAAAUUCUGCAAACUGCUCCUGCUACAAGUAUCAAUACUGUCAACCUGCUAUCGUUGUUUAGCCACACAAAUUGUCAUGUGCUCUUUCAUCAUUAGACUCUAAUAGUUAUUCAAAAAAUGGUUAGCUUUGACCUAGGGUGACAGUGUGUCAUUUGACACGUUUGUCACAUCAGAA